ACAGCUGAGUUUGAGGAGGUUAACAUUAAGAUACCAAGCCUGAGCAGAAAAAAACUGAUUUGAGGACCAAGUAGGAAGGAGAUGAGAAGGAAACAGCUGUGUGUGAUAAUGGUGUGCUUGAAAUACAAUCAGUGAUUCCACAGUUAUAUCAGGUUGGCCUAACAGUCAAUGCUGUACAUGAAAGCACAUGCAUCAACUUGUAAAUUAUCUUCAGCUUUCAAGUGGUGUGAAGAUCUUUUGCCAUUUUGGUUGUGCUUCAGUGGUUGGCAAAUCAUGGAGAUGGCUGGUGUUCUGGAAGAGGCUUCAUUCUUCCUGACAACAGAAGUAACAGUGAUUAGUUCAACUUAGGGCUCUGUGCUGUAACCCAGCUUGACAUCACAAAAGCAACUGGUUUCUAUGGGUCUUUUUUUUUUUUUUUUUCCUGACUUCUUUUUUUCUCCCCUGUCUCUUCUGGAAUGCUUUUUGAGCAAAUUCUUUGCUUGUGGAGGAAUGUCACAUUCUCUUGCACUGGUUGAUAAAUAUUUAUGCCUGAGAACAGCAUAAAGCUCUCGUUUGGAUGCUUUCCCAUUUUACAGUGUGCUGGCUUUUGGCCUGAUCUCUGUAUUUAGAAAACAGUGUGUACCUGCAUGCUUUCUUGACUCAAUUUCCUAUUCCUAAUGGGUUUGCAGCCAGUACUGCGUGUGAACCAUAGUGCGGAUUGCAAUAUUGUCAAUGAAUUGUCAGAAUACUUAAAUAAAGAUGAAAAAUAAGUGGCUCCUUUUCUAUGUAUGCAAUUGCAUUUUAUGGACAAAUUUAUAGAUAAGCUUGGAAAAAAGAUACAGGACACAAAACAUGAAAACAUUUUUUGAACUAUUUUGGUACUCUGACAGAAACAAACAAUGUUAAAUGAAAUUAGAUGAGAAAUUAGAAGUCUUAUGGUAAUAUUAAUUCAGUCCUAUAUCACAAUUGCAUUUCUCUCCUAUCCCUUUUCUGAAAUGUUUUGCUGAGUUUUACUUUUCUUGUUAGAUUUUCAUGUUAAACAAGCUCUGUAUACAUGCAUGGAAAAACAUGUUUAUUAUUAA